rnacentral:rRNA from 1 species
UACAGAGGGUGCAAACGUUGCUCGGAAUCAUUGGGCGUAAAGCGCACGUAGGCGGCCUAGCAAGUAGGGAGUGAAAGCCCUCGGCUUAACCGAGGAAGUGCUUUCUAAACUACUAGGCUUGAAUACUGGAGAGGGUCGCGGAAUUCCCGGUGUAGAGGUAAAAUUCGUAGAUAUCAGGAAGAACACCCGUGGCUAAGGCGGCUCUCUAGUACGGUACUGACGCUGAGACGCGAAAGCGUGGGGAGCGAACAGGAUGAGAU